rnacentral:rRNA from 1 species
GACGAACCGAGCGAACGUUGUUCGGAAUCACUGGGCUUAAAGGGCGCGUAGGCGGUCGCUCAAGUCCGGGGUGAAAUCCUCCAGCUCAACUGGAGAACUGCCUCGGAUACUGGGUGCCUCGAGUGUGGUAGGGGUGAGCGGAACUAUCGGUGGAGCGGUGAAAUGCGUUGAUAUCGAUAGGAACUCCGGUGGCGAAGGCGGCACACUGGACCACAACUGACGCUGAGGCGCGAAAGCCAGGGGAGCAAACGGG